GUUUGCACGCAGUGGUAAUUUGUUAAUUAUCUGUGCUGUAAAGCAGAAGUGAGCAAAUAGCUGCCCAAGGGUAAAUUCUGGCCCACUGCCUACUUUUGUAAAUACAGUAAUUCCCCCUUUUUCUGUUUGCUUUCCAUGGUUUCAGUUACCUGCAAUCAACCUGGGUUGGAAAUAUUCAAUGGGAAAUUCCAGAAAUAAAAGUGGAUCAUGGGACUCUUGUUCUGAAAUUGUAUACCAACCAGAUGAGCAUAUCCUGUAACAGUGGGAGGAGGACACACUUCCAGUUUUUGGAAGAUUCAUUGAUUUCUCAGCAAGAGAGAUUGUGCCUUCAGCAAUAGCCAUGGAGAAUCUAUGCUGUGUAUGGAAGGUGACAACGUGCCAGCCAAAGAAGAAUGCUCAAUGAGCACCAUCCAACCGGAGCAAGGAUGUGGCAGGCUCUGGGUACAGACAGAUGGAAGUCUCUGGCAAGUUCUUCUUUAUAUUUUUCUCACUCUGUGGAUAAAUACAGGCACUCACAGAUAUCAUUGUAAAUUUCAGUUGCUAUUUCUAGGGAGCCCAAUGUUGUGUGCAGUGUUAUAAGGAGAAUGUUGGCUCUUGUGUGAAGAUUUACCUCACUGCAUUGUCAUCCUCUGAUGAUACCCCCAGGAAAUACAUCCCAGAGUUCAAGGAAUAGAAAGAUACACUGACCAAGUAGAGAUUUUCAAAUAACAUAGACUAGUAACUCAAUUAAAAACACAGGGGAGGGUCAAGGGAAAAGAAAAAAGGUAAAAUAAUCCACUUAGGAUAGAGUACAAGGAAGAUAGAAAGGACGUACUAUCUGAGUCCCGAGAUAUGUUCUAUCAGAGAGACACAGAAGUACGCCCGGCCAAGAUGUAGUUCAUCUUUUAACCUGAUGAGCAGCUGUAGAUUUUAUUUAUGUCUCUUGGGAGACUGCAGGUAGGGUCAGAUAGGUGUCACAAAUGGUUGGUCAAUUUAAGAACUCAUAAAUAUUGUGUGCUUUCAUAAGCCUCAUGAAUUUGUUAUGUAUCAGGAGUAUUAUGUGUCUCAGGUAUAUGCAGUGUAUUAUGAAUAUUAAGUACCACUUUCUGUCUCUACGUCUGGUGCAUACCUGUUUUACUUAUGUUACCUAUUCCUAACCCAUAAUAUAGUUUACUGAUUUACUUAAUAUUUUCAUGAAUUCUGUCUAUACCUCACAAGCUACUUGUUUCCACAUCUAAUUUAUCAUCAUUUGUCUCUUUUUCCUAUUUCCUAUAUCAGAAUUGAAUCAUCUUAAAUAAUAAAGGAAAAAUCACAUUACAUUAAAAGUGAGAGAGGACUUGCUGGAGAGAAGGGAAAUGUAAAAGCUGGGAGAACUGGGUCAGUGAUAGUUGAGACGACAUUGUAAUUUAACAUAGUUAUAGUGAAUGUUGGGAGAUAAUGAAAAAAGAUAACACAGAUAGUGAAUCCACAUCUGUUUUAUAAGGUUGAUGAUUAGCACUUUCUUUCUUAUUAGAAACAGGAGUGUCUGCCACAAACAGGAAUGCCUUCUGCCCUGUUUCUACCUUAGAAUAUGGAAGUCACUCUUAAAAGGUCCAGAGUGAGAUAACUAUCUUCUUUCUUUACGUCUAAUUAUCACCUUUUCCUUAAGCAUUGCCUCCCUUAGGAACAGCCUCUUCACCGUGUGAUUGAUGGAGAAGAUAUCCACUUCCCAGGAUAGACUCCAUUUUCUACCCAAUGUCCCAGCGACACAAUUACCACAAAGAAGGGAGUUCGUCUCACUGAAACUGUUAAAGGAAGAUAAGAUGGUGUUUAAGACCCAUGGAGCUGAGGAAGUAACAAGAGAGAUCUCAAUGCCAGAACCUCCACCUCAGAGACCUUCAGGCCAAAUACCCGAGCACAGAAGGAAAGAAUGGCUAGAACCCGGUUUGGCAAUGGCUGAAAACCGUGAAGAAUGAGAUAGGUGACUAGGAUCCAGGGAAAUAAUUCAGUUUUCAAAAAAAGGCCAAAAGAUAAAAGCAAGCAAGAAAGCAAACAAAUAACAGUAAUAACAAAAUUUAAGAACCCCUUGCAUGGAAGAGAUGCUUAUUUCCUCUGGACUGAAAGUUGGAUGUAAAGGAUUUCAGUAUUUUCGGAACACAUGAUGAUGGGAUUCCAAAUUCCUGUAUUAUCAGUUGGAUAUCUGGCCUAAAGAACUGUUCAAACUGCUCCAAUCUGAAAUUGAGGUUUAGCUUAUGUGACAGCAGCCCAGCACCAAAUGUUCUCUGACACACUAAGGAUUUUCUUGCCACAACACUGGACAUUUCGAAACCUAAGAACAAGGAAGUCUUAUGAAUGACUUUGUCACUACUCUUGACCACACGGGUCCCAUUUAAAUUCCAUCAAUGUGAGUGAUGAAAAUUUUCAGAGGCAGACAAAGAGAACCUGUUAUAGGCUACAGGCAUAUACGUGGGCUUUGGCAAUGAAAGGAUUGCCAAUAGCUUCUAGGCAUUAUUCUCUGAAUGGCUGGCAGUUGAGAUGAUCUGCAUUUGUCUCCUACCAUUUUCUUCUCUCCUGAAUGUUGUAACAUUCCUUUCAGUGAUGGCAUCAGAAGUGGGGUCUAAAGUAGAGCUUCUAACAACCCCCAUGAGCACUGAGUGACCAAGCAAGGUACCCGCCAGGCCUAUUCUGUCUGUUGCUCUCUCAGAGCAGCUGGCGAUCAUGGUAUGAUGAGACCAAAAGACCAGGAGACAACUGCCAAAGGUUAUAUAACUCCAGAUCCAAAGGGAAAGGGACAUGACACUAUGCGGGAGGCACCUGGAAAAGCACCAAGGUUGGUCAGGAGGAAGAUGGACUGUGCUGAAA